rnacentral:rRNA from 1 species
UGUGCCAGCCGCCGCGGUAAUACGUAGGGGGCAAGCGUUGUCCGGAAUUAUUGGGCGUAAAGCGCGCGCAGGCGGCUUCUUAAGUCAGGUGUGAAAGCCCACGGCUCAACCGUGGAGGGCCACUUGAAACUGGGAAGCUUGAGUGCAGGAGAGGAGAGCGGAAUUCCACGUGUAGCGGUGAAAUGCGUAGAGAUGUGGAGGAACACCCGUGGCGAAGGCGGCUCUCUGGCCUGUAACUGACGCUGAGGCGCGAAAGCGUGGGGAGCGAACAGGAUUAGAUACCCGAGUAGUCC